rnacentral:rRNA from 1 species
AAAGAGAGUUAAAAAGCACGUGAAAUUGUUGAAAGGGAAGCGCUUGCGACCAGACUCGCCUCCAGGGUUCAGCCGGCAUUCGUGCCGGUGUACUUCCCUGGGGGCGGGCCAGCGUCGGUUUGGGCGGCCGGUCAAAGGCUCCCGGAAUGUAGUGCCCUUCGGGGCACCUUAUAGCCGGGAGUGCAAUGCGGCCAGCCUGGACCGAGGAACGCGCUUCGGCACGGACGCUGGCAUAAUGGUCGCAAACGACCCGUCUUGAAACACGGACCAAGA